AAAUCAAAUUGAUUGGCACAUUAUUCUAGUCGAUGAGAUUUAUUAUGAAGACGGGGUUAAAAUACCGUUAAAGAGCAUAACUGUGAAACCUAUGGUGCUUGCUUCUUACGCCCAGUUUGGGGUGAGUGCUGGAGGGUAGAGUAUUGGGCAACCGCAAUGGCAUGCGUCAUUGACCCAAUAUUCAUGGAGACCUAAUCUUGUGGUUGGCCUAAACAUGCAUUGCGCAUUGAUGGACCGGGUACGAAUUAGGCGUGAACCUACUAUGUGGCGAAAGUUACGAGUAGUGUAGCUUGCCUUGAGUGGCUUAUGGGGAAUAAUUGAUCCAUCCUCUUGCUGUUAAUAGCUAAAACAGCCUGGGAAUCGCAAUUUGAAACCAUAUCUGCAAAAAAGGAUUAAUAAUAAAUCAGUCGGGGAGGAAAUCUCCUAGAGUGCAGCUUUUAAAUAGGAUUGCAGUGUGUACUAAGUGGUAAUCAAGUCGUACGUUCGGAAACGACGUACCCAUCUCUAUAAUGGGGAACCGCUAAUCUGGUAACGGAUUAGUAGAGAUGCGGGGAAAUCCUACUUGACCUAAGACGCAAAGUUAACUAUUUAAACCGCCAUCAAUUAAUU
rnacentral:sRNA from 1 species